UCUCUGGUAGCUCAGUCAGUAAAGAAUCUGCCUGCAGUGCAGAAGACCCAGGUUCAAUUCCUGGCUCAGGAA
rnacentral:tRNA from 1 species